rnacentral:rRNA from 1 species
GACGAACGCUGGCGGCGUGCUUAACACAUGCAAGUCGAACGGACAGACAGAGAGCUUGCUCUCUUGAAGUUAGUGGCGAACGGGUGAGUAACGCGUAAUCAACCUGCCCUUCAGAGGGGGAUAACAACGGGAAACCGUUGCUAAUACCGCGUACGAUUCAUGAACGGCAUCGUUUAUGAAUGAAAGGUGGCCUCUAUGUAUAAGCUAUCGCUGAAGGAGGGGAUUGCGUCUGAUUAGCUAGUUGGAGGGGUAACGGCCCACCAAGGCAAUGAUCAGUAGCCGGUCUGAAAGGAUGAACGGCCACAUUGGGACUGAGACACGGCCCAAACUCCUACGGGAGGCAGCAGUGGGGAAUCUUCCGCAAUGGACGAAAGUCUGACGGAGCAACGCCGCGUGAGUGAUGAAGGUCUUCGGAUUGUAAAGCUCUGUUAAUCGGGACGAAAGAGUUCUGCGUGAAUAAUGCAGAAAAGUGACGGUACCAGAAUAGAAAGCCACGGCUAACUACGUGCCAGCCGCCGCAGUAA